GACGAACGCUGGCGGCGUGCUUAACACAUGCAAGUCGAACGGAAAGGCCCUGCUUUUGUGGGGUGCUCGAGUGGCGAACGGGUGAGUAACACGUGAGUAACCUGCCCUUGACUUUGGGAUAACUUCAGGAAACUGGGGCUAAUACCGGAUAGGAGCUCCUGCUGCAUGGUGGGGGUUGGAAAGUUUCGGCGGUUGGGGAUGGACUCGCGGCUUAUCAGCUUGUUGGUGGGGUAGUGGCUUACCAAGGCUUUGACGGGUAGCCGGCCUGAGAGGGUGACCGGCCACAUUGGGCCUGAGAUACGGCCCAGACUCCUACGGGAGGCAGCAGUGGGGAAUAUUGCACAAUGGGCGGGAGCCUGAUGCAGCAACGCCGCGUGCGGGAUGACGGCCUUCGGGUUGUAAACCGCUUUCGCCUGUGACGAAGCGUGAGUGACGGUAAUGGGUAAAGAAGCACCGGCUAACUACGUG
rnacentral:rRNA from 1 species